AGGUGCUUGCACCUUUCAAGCGAGUGGCGAACGGGUGAGUAACACGUGGAUAACCUGCCUCAAGGCUGGGGAUAACAUUUGGAAACAGAUGCUAAUACCGAAUAAAACUUAGUAUCGCAUGAUAUCAAGUUAAAAGGCGCUACGGCGUCACCUAGAGAUGGAUCCGCGGUGCAUUAGUUAGUUGGUGGGGUAAAGGCUUACCAAGACGAUGAUGCAUAGCCGAGUUGAGAGACUGAUCGGCCACAUUGGGACUGAGACACGGCCCAAACUCCUACGGGAGGCUGCAGUAGGGAAUCUUCCACAAUGGGCGCAAGCCUGAUGGAGCAACGCCGCGUGUGUGAUGAAGGCUUUCGGGUCGUAAAGCACUGUUGUAUGGGAAGAAAUGCUAAAAUAGGGAAUGAUUUUAGUUUGACGGUACCAUACCAGAAAGGGACGGCUAAAUACGUGCCAGCAGCCGCGGUAAUACGUAUGUCCCGAGCGUUAUCCGGAUUUAUUGGGCGUAAAGCGAGCGCAGACGGUUGAUUAAGUCUGAUGUGAAAGCCCGGAGCUCAACUCCGGAAUGGCAUUGGAAACUGGUUAACUUGAGUGUUGUAGAGGUAAGUGGAACUCCAUGUGUAGCGGUGGAAUGCGUAGAUAUAUGGAAGAACACCAGUGGCGAAGGCGGCUUACUGGACAACAACUGACGUUGAGGCUCGAAAGUGUGGGUAGCAAACAGGAUUAGAUACCCUGGUAGUCCACACCGUAAACGAUGAAUACUAGGUGUUAGGAGGUUUCCGCCUCUUAGUGCCGAAGCUAACGCAUUAAGUAUUCCGCCUGGGGAGUACGACCGCAAGGUUGAAACUCAAAGGAAUUGACGGGGACCCGCACAAGCGGUGGAGCAUGUGGUUUAAUUCGAAGCAACGCGAAGAACCUUACCAGGUCUUGACAUCCUUUGAAGCUUUUAGAGAUAGAAGUGUUCUCUUCGGAGACAAAGUGACAGGUGGUGCAUGGUCGUCGUCAGCUCGUGUCGUGAGAUGUUGGGUUAAGUCCCGCAACGAGCGCAACCCUUAUUGUUAGUUGCCAGCAUUCAGUUGGGCACUCUAGCGAGACUGCCGGUGACAAACCGGAGGAAGGCGGGGACGACGUCAGAUCAUCAUGCCCCUUAUGACCUGGGCUACACACGUGCUACAAUGGCGUAUACAACGAGUUGCCAACCUGCGAAGGUGAGCUAAUCUCUUAAAGUACGUCUCAGUUCGGACUGCAGUCUGCAACUCGACUGCACGAAGUCGGAAUCGCUAGUAAUCGCGGAUCAGCACGCCGCGGUGAAUACGUUCCCGGGUCUUGUACACACCGCCCGUCACACCAUGGGAGUUUGUAAUGCCCAAAGCCGGUGGCCUAACCUUCGGGAGGGAGCCGUCUAAGUCAG
rnacentral:rRNA from 1 species